rnacentral:rRNA from 1 species
UACGGAGGGUGCAAGCGUUAUCCGGAUUUAUUGGGUUUAAAGGGUCCGUAGGCGGGCUGAUAAGUCAGUGGUGAAAUCCUGCAGCUUAACUGUAGAGCUGCCAUUGAUACUGUUAGUCUUGAGUAUAUUUGAAGUAGCUGGAAUAAGUAGUGUAGCGGUGAAAUGCAUAGAUAUUACUUAGAACACCAAUUGCGAAGGCAGGUUACUAAGAUAAGACUGACGCUGAGGGACGAAAGCGUGGGGAGCGAACAGGAUUAGAUACCCUGGUAGUCCACGCUGUAAACGGUGCUGACUCGUUUUUGGUUUUUAGGGAUCAGAGACUAAGCGAAAGUGAUAAGUCAGCCACCUGGGGAGUACGACCGCAAGGUUGAAACUCAAAGGAAUUGACGGGGGCCCGCACAAGCGGUGGAUUAUGUGGUUUAAUUCGAUGAUACGCGAGGAACCUUACCAAGACUUAAAUGGGAAUUGACAGCUGUAGAAAUACGGUUUUCUUCGGACAAUUUUCAAGGUGCUGCAUGGUUGUCGUCAGCUCGUGCCGUGAGGUGUUAGGUUAAGUCCUGCAACGAGCGCAACCCCUGUCACUAGUUGCCAUCAUUCAGUUGGGGACUCUAGUGAGACUGCCUGCGCAAGCAGAGAGGAAGGUGGGGAUGACGUCAAAUCAUCACGG